rnacentral:misc_RNA from 1 species
UUUGGCAGGUCUAUAGGCAAAGG